GUGCUCACUUUGACAGCACAUAUACUAAAAUUGGAACCAUACUGAGUAGUUUAUCAUGGCCUCUGCA
rnacentral:snRNA from 1 species